AUGAAUGUGUUCGCGGGGGUCGGCGGCAGCGCGGGGGAGGGCGCGGGGGCCGGGGCGGCGGCGGCGGCGAGGGACGCGGGAUCCGCGGACUUCGGGGCGCUGCUGGAGCUGACGCCGCACAAGAUGGCGGUGUGCCACCUCGUGCAGGUCUUCGCGCCGCCGGCGCAGCAGCAGCAUCAGGCCCCGCCCUUCCCCUUCGACUCCGUCGCCCACCACAACCGCCUCGGCCUCUUCCUCUUCGCCCUCACCCGCUCAUGUGAGGAUUUUUUGGAACCGCCACUGGAAGAGCUUUUAAGGCAGUUGAAGGCGGUAGACGAUUUAGUUAAUGGUUGGCUUUGUGAGCAGUUGACAACCACACUGGCUGGGCUUAACUCACCAGACGAUUUGUUCAACUUUUUUGAUAAGCUAAGAGGUGUGCUCACUUCACCGGACGGUGGAAGUGUGGAAGAUGAAUUUCUGGACCCAAAUAGUCAGCUUGGAGUUUUUCUUCGUUGCUGUAUACUGGCCUUCAAUUCCAUGACUUUUGAGGGUGUCUGCCAUCUGUUGGCAAAUCUUGUGGCGUACUGUAACUCAGCUGAGGCUUCAUAUGAUUUGGCAGAAGAUGAGGACUUUAAUGGUGAAAUAGAAAUGGGCGACCCGAUGGAUGCAGAUAUAGGUGUUAGAUCUGGUGUAUUUGACAGAUAUACUCAAGGCUAUGCCACUGAGAGCCAUAUGGGGGAGAGCUCUUCGUCUCUAAUCCAUGCACCUAUCUCACUUCAUAAUUUUGAUGAAGCCGAUAUUUUCAAAGCAGAGGAUAAUCCAACUUGUCUGAGAUCAAGGUGGCAAUUAGAGGCAUUUCUGAACCAGCAAGCUGACGUUCUUGAAAAGGAUCCCAGCUCAGUGCCUUUGAAUUCAUUUAACAACACUAUGGCACAGCUUCAGACAUUAGCUCCAGAGCUUCAUCGUGUCCAAUUCUUGCAAUACUUGAAUGCUCUUUGCCAUGAUGACUAUGUUGCUUCAUUAGACCAUCUUCACCGCUAUUUUGAUUACAGUGCUGGGAUGCAAGGACUUUUCAGUCGUUCUUCAUCUCCUCACCAAGAUAAUAUUGUCGGAAAGUAUGAGAGUGCUCUGCUCUGCUUAGGCAACUUGCAUUGUUAUUUUGGACAUCCAAAGAAAGCCCUAGAGGCAUUCACAGAAGCAGUGCGUGUUUCUCAAAUGAACAAUGAUGAUUCAUGCCUUGCAUAUAUAUUAGGAGCCAUUUCCAAUCUAUUAUCAAAGAUAGGAAUAUCAAGCACAGUUGGACUAAUUGGUUCUCGAUAUUCACUUGGAAACAAUAUUGGACUGGGCACACCAUUGUCCAUUCAGCAGCAGUUGCUUGUUCUGUUGAAGCGAUCACUUAAGAGAGCUGAUAUGCUGAAACUUACAAGCUUGUUAUCCUUUGAUCACAUCUCUCUUGCAAAAUUUGAUUUGAAGCAUGUCCAAAGGCCGUUGGUGUCCUUUGGCCCUAAUGGUUCUACAAAGCUUAGAACAUGUCCUGCAGAUGUCUGCAAGAAUUUAAGAUUAAGUUCCCAUGUGCUGUCCGACUUUGGCGCAGAUGGCUUAUCAAUUUCGAGUGAUAAUGGUAGUUUCAGCACCUCAUGGCUUAAGAAUCUGUCUGAUGCUUCCAGUUCUUGGUGUAGUAGCUCAACAAAGCCUAGAAAAUUUAUUACAAAUGACUUUGACAAUUUCCACUUUCAUGCACAACCAAGUUCAAUACCUACAUCAGUAUUGCAAUUAGCUGGCUCAGCAUAUUUGAUGAGGGCCACUGCCUGGGAGCACUAUGGAAGUGCUCCGAUGGUUCGAAUGAAUACGCUGGUCUAUGCAACCUGCUUUGCUGAUGCUGCAAGUUCAUCAGAGCUGUCACUGGCAUAUGUCAAGCUAAUUGAACAGUUAGCAGUCUUCAAAGGAUAUUCAGCGGCAUUCUGUGCGCUCAAGCUUGCCGAAGAGAAGUUCCCAUCCUCGACGAAUUCGCAGAUCCACCUUCUCAAAAUGCAAUUGCUACAUGAGCGUGCCCUGCAUCGAGGACACCUGAGAAUCGCGCAACAAAUCGGUGAUGAAUUUGGGGUGCUCUCAUCUUCUGUCAGUGGAGUAGACAUUGAGCUAAAGACUGAAGCCAGUCUACGGCGUGCCCGCACGUUACUCGCUGCAAAACAGUUUAGCCAGGCAGCAGCUGUGGCGAAUUCCCUUUUCACUACUUGCUACAAGUACAACAUGCAAGUAGAGAAUGCAAGUGUCCUUUUGUUACUUGCCGAAAUACAUAGAAAGUCUGACAACGCGGUCCUUGGCCUCACUUACGCAUUAGCCAGCCAAUCGUUUUGCAAAUCGUUUAAUUUGGAUCUGCUUGAAGCUUCAGCCACACUUACUCUCGCUGAACUGUGGCUAGCUCUUGGAUCUAACCAUGCGAAGAGGGCCUUAAGUCUUGUUUAUCAAAGCCUUCCUAUGAUUCUCGGCCAUGGCGGUCUUGAGCUGCGUGCUCGGUCUCAGAUAGUCUUAGCAAAAUGUCACUUAACCGAUCCAGAAUUUUCAGUUUCUGAAGAUCCUUGUGCUGUUCUGGACCCUCUAAAUCAAGCGGCUGAAGACCUGCAGGUUUUAGAGUACCACGAGAUGGCGGCAGAGGUGUACUAUCUCAAGGCGAUGACGUAUAACCACCUGGGCAAGGAAUAUGAGAGGGAGGAAGCCGCGGCUCGUUUCAAGGAGCACGUCACCGCCCUCGAGAACCCGCGCGACGAGGAGGAUUCACUCGUUUACUGA
rnacentral:rRNA from 1 species